GUAAUCUCUUAUGUAUUUUUCGUGACCAGCGUUUGUUGCGCCACCGCUGUAAGCGAACCCGCCGAACCGAACUAAAAUGCAAUAUGGCCGUCUAAAAUCAACAUGGCCGUAGUAAUGAGUUCCGUUCAACAAGCAAAGUAAAGUGAAGCAAAGCUUACGAGCGAAGAAGGAGGUUAUUUCUUACGAACGGAAUAAUUUAAAACUGAUGACACCAGUAACUGUUCCAAUGUGUACACCAGCCUUCGACACCAUAUAGAAUAAAGAUGCUGUCAGAGGAGUUAGAUGAGGGAGCUACAACCAAGAAAAAGCAAUCUGUGAUCACAUUACUUAGCUUCGACAAACGAUGACCUAAGUUCAACUGAUUGUAGGCUCUUACGUCCACGUGGAAUCAGCUGCUCCUUUGCAACUUGCAACAGGCUAAGGCUGCGUUCCGAUAUUAAUUGUCAGUACUGAAAAUCUACAGUAUAUGUGACGUAAACUAUAGAUUUUCAGUACUGGCAGUGAAUAUCGAAACGCAGCCUAAGUUACGAAGAAGCAGCUGAUUCCACAUGAACGUAAGAAAGAGGCUACAAUCAGUUGAACUUUGGUCAUCGUUUGUCGAAGCUAAUGGGUGUCAAGACAAAUCACUUAAAUGCAAACUACUUUCCAGUAUGUUGUAGCAUAAGAAAGCAAGAAAAUUGUAUUGGAGGAGAAACAACGUGAUUUAGAGAAUAAGGUGCUCUAUCACAUAGAAUGUAAUUCUAUUAUAAAAACAUGUAAUGGUUCCAUAAAAUAAAUAAGUUCAAAAAA
rnacentral:lncRNA from 1 species